rnacentral:rRNA from 1 species
CCUACGGGAGGCAGCAGUAGGGAAUCUUUCACAAUGGGCGAAAGCCUGAUGGAGCAACGCCGCGUGCAGGAUGAAUGCCUUCGGGUUGUAAACUGCUUUUAUAAGCGAGAAAUAUGAUGGUAACUUAUGAAUAAGGCUCGUCUAACUACGUGCCAGCAGCCGCGGUCAUACGUAGGAUCCGAGCAUUAUCCGGAGUGACUGGGUGUAAAGAGUUGCGUAGGUGGCAUAAUAAGUAGCUAGUGAAAUCUGGUGGCUCAACCAUUCAGACUAUUAGCUAAACUGUUAAGCUCGAGACCGUUAGGGGUAACUGGAAUUUCUAGUGUAGGAGUGAAAUCCGUAGAUAUUAGAAGGAACACCAAUAGCGUAGGCAGGUUGCUGGGACGGUUCUGACACUAAGGCACGAAAGCGUAGGGAGCAAACGGGAUUAGAUACCCUUGUAGUC